rnacentral:lncRNA from 1 species
UGAAAGAUAGGUAUAAAUAGGAAAAAACAGGACCCCUUAUUAGGCGCCACGUGUCAACACAAGCUAUUUCUUUAAAAAAACAAAAAAAAAACAAAGUAUAGCCGUGCGGCUAUACUAAUUUAAAAAAAAAAAAGUAAUCCCUCUAUUAUUUAGGCUCCACGUGUCAAAGAAAGAUAUAAAUAUGAAAAAAGAGGACCGCUUAUUAGGCGCCACGUGUCAACACAACGUAUUUCUUUAAAAAAAUAAAAACACAGAGUAUAGCCGUAUGGCUAUACUAAUUAUAAAAAAAAAAAAAGUAAUCCCUCUAUUAUUUAGGCUCCACGUGUCAAAGAAAGAUAUAAAUAUGAAAAAAGAGGACCGCUUAUUAGGCGCCACGUGUCAACACAAGCUAUUUCUUUAAAAAAAUAAAAAACACAGAGUAUAGCCGUGCGGCGAUACUAAUUAAAAAAAAAAAGAGAAAUACAAAAUUCAGUUUUAGCAAUAAAAAAAAAAAGUCUUUAGAAAAAAGCCAAAGCCUUUUCGUAAAUGACCAAAACACUCCUCAACUUUAAUCCUAAAGACAUGCAAAGACUCAAAUAGAAAUAUUAGUAGUCUUCAGCCAUUUUUGUUUGUUAGCAGCUUUUAGAAAAUCAAAGCAUAGCAUGUGAACUUCAGCCAGCCAUUUCGUCCGUUAGCAUCUUUUAGAAAAUCAAAGCACAGCAGCAUGUAAGCUCCCAGAGAUGUCAUUUAGCUUUAUGCAUGUGAAUUCCUUGUAUCUAUGUGUGAGAAGACAUGUGAAUUACAUACGAGGUGUGUGUGGAGUGUUCGGAUAGAGAAACAGAUAGAGAGGAAAAAGGGAAGGAGGCUCCUCUUUCUCAUCCUUAAGCUUUUCUGGAAAAGAAUGAAGUCGGUGAACUCAUGUAUAUAGCCUGCAGCUCCGAAGAAGAGAAGUACAUCAGGGAAGAAAAAAUCCCAAUACUUCAUCUUUCAGUUUCAAUAAAUAAAAAUCCUUUUGUUUAUAUACUUUCUCUUAUUCUUCAUAUCCUUCAAGCAUUGUUAAAUAUCACCAACAACUGAUUAGUAUCCAGUGCAUAACAAUUCCAGCAAAAGCAAUUAA